UCACCAGCAGCUUUAGCAGGGGAAACACCUCCUCGUGCCACAGAUGCCGCUGCCCAAGCCAGACAGGCCAAAGCCCCCGGAGUUGAUGGGCACUCCCUGAGAGCUGAGGAUGCUGCCAACGGCAGCGGAGGUGGAGGAGCCCACGGCGGUGUUCUGCGGGAAGGA